CCUGUGGUUGGAUUAAUGUCUGUCACUGGAUCUAUGGGUAACGAGGAACAUUAUCCUGGUACUCUGAUUAUACAAAACCUAAGGAAGAACAGGCAGAGAAGACGUGCGGAAGAGGAGGCAAGGAAUUUCAUUUGAAAAGAA